GCCCAGGUAGCUCAGUUGGUAGAGCAAGGGAUUGAAAAUCCCCGUGUCGGCGGUUCGAUUCCGUCCCUGGGCACCA
rnacentral:tRNA from 1 species